UGAAUCGAGACGUUUCACGCAGACUCAUCUACUAAAGGAACCGCAGGUUCGAAACCUCAGUGAGUGGGAAAUUCGGUGGUAUUCGCUGUCCCAAUUCAGAAAAUUGCUCUUGAGAGCUUCCUAAGCGUGUAAACGCUGGGCGGGGCCAUCAGAAAUUUACAGGCAGGAUGGGGUUCGCCCCUUCUGGCUGAUGGAAGGCUCCGCGGACAGUUGGCCCGUUGGCCUUGGCCAACGGCGCUGUUAAGUGCAAUGCGUGAACCCUUCCCAGAAGAGCACCCGAUACCGAUCAUCGUCUUGGUUCA
rnacentral:RNase_P_RNA from 1 species